rnacentral:rRNA from 1 species
GUGCUUGCAUCAUGAUUUACAUUUGAGUGAGUGGCGAACUGGUGAGUAACACGUGGGAAACCUGCCCAGAAGCGGGGGAUAACACCUGGAAACAGAUGCUAAUACCGCAUAACAACUUGGACCGCAUGGUCCGAGUUUGAAAGAUGGCUUCGGCUAUCACUUUUGGAUGGUCCCGCGGCGUAUUAGCUAGAUGGUGGGGUAACGGCUCACCAUGGCAAUGAUACGUAGCCGACCUGAGAGGGUAAUCGGCCACAUUGGGACUGAGACACGGCCCAAACUCCUACGGGAGGCAGCAGUAGGGAAUCUUCCACAAUGGACGAAAGUCUGAUGGAGCAACGCCGCGUGAGUGAAGAAGGGUUUCGGCUCGUAAAACUCUGUUGUUAAAGAAGAACAUAUCUGAGAGUAACUGUUCAGGUAUUGACGGUAUUUAACCAGAAAGCCACGGCUAACUACGUGCCAGCAGCCGCGGUAAUACGUAGGUGGCAAGCGUUGUCCGGAUUUAUUGGGCGUAAAGCGAGCGCAGGCGGUUUUUUAAGUCUGAUGUGAAAGCCUUCGGCUCAACCGAAGAAGUGCAUCGGAAACUGGGAAACUUGAGUGCAGAAGAGGACAGUGGAACUCCAUGUGUAGCGGUGAAAUGCGUAGAUAUAUGGAAGAACACCAGUGGCGAAGGCGGCUGUCUGGUCUGUAACUGACGCUGAGGCUCGAAAGUAUGGGUAGCAAACAGGAUUAGAUACCCUGGUAGUCCAUACCGUAAACGAUGAAUGCUAAGUGUUUGGAGGGUUUCCGCCCUUCAGUGCUGCAGCUAACGCAUUAAGCAUUCCGCCUGGGGGAGUACGGCCGCAAGGCUGAAACUCAAAGGAAUUGACGGGGGCCCGCACAAGCGGUGGAACAUGGUGGUUUAAUUCGAAGCUACGCGAAGAACCUUACCAGGUCUUGACAUACUAUGCAAAUCUAAAAGAUUAGACGUUCCCUUCGGGGACAUGGAAUACAGGUGGGGGCA